ACAAAACAAAAUAAAAAAAAAUGAAAAAAAAAUAGUAAAAUGAGAUAAAAUGAAAUUAAAAUAAAAUGGACAUAUGGAGAUUUAGAUUGUUGGUGCAGACUUUGGUUCUGAUAGGUGCGAUUUUUGGCUCGUGUACUCUCUGUCCCUGCCCUUCUAUGGCGUAGGCCCAGUUGGCCUGAUCAAUAACACAAGUUACCUGAGGGUCCGACAAAGUAAAGUAGUGAAUAGUCUCACCCUCGAUC
rnacentral:lncRNA from 1 species